rnacentral:rRNA from 1 species
ACCAGCACGUUAUGGUGGGCACUCUAAGGAGACUGCCGGUGACAAACCGGAGGAAGGUGGGGAUGACGUCAAGUCAUCAUGGCCCUUACGGCCUGGGCUACACACGUGCUACAAUGGUCGGUACAAAGGGUUGCCAAGCCGCGAGGUGGAGCUAAUCCCAUAAAACCGAUCGUAGUCCGGAUCGCAGUCUGCAACUCGACUGCGUGAAGUCGGAAUCGCUAGUAAUCGUGAAUCAGGAUGUCACGGUGAAUACGUUCCCGGGCCUU